rnacentral:rRNA from 1 species
UACGGAGGGUGCAAGCGUUAAUCGGAAUUACUGGGCGUAAAGCGCACGCAGGCGGUCUGUCAAGUCGGAUGUGAAAUCCCCGGGCUCAACCUGGGAACUGCAUUCGAAACUGGCAGGCUGGAGUCUUGUAGAGGGGGGUAGAAUUCCAGGUGUAGCGGUGAAAUGCGUAGAGAUCUGGAGGAAUACCGGUGGCGAAGGCGGCCCCCUGGACAAAGACUGACGCUCAGGUGCGAAAGCGUGGGAGCAAACAGG